rnacentral:pre_miRNA from 1 species
GAGGGCACCCCCCAAUCCUGUUGUGCUGGAUUCAGAGGGUUGGGUGGAGGCUUUCCU